rnacentral:lncRNA from 1 species
UUAGGCCUUAAUUUUCAUGUAAACCAAUCGCAUAAGACUUGAGAAGAAAUUAAUUUUGGGUUUUGAAUGCAAAAAUAAAAGUAAACAUGCAAAUGCAGUGAAUCAAUUGGCUAAAGAAACUAUGAAUGAAUGAAGUUGUUGGGGUUUACAAUUUCAUCUUAUCCACCCUCUUAUAUCUACUUUUCUUAUCUUAUUCGCUUAUUUAUCAAAUUGUCAUGCAAACUUUCUUGGUCUACCCUUAACCUAAUUCCUUAGCGAAAAGAGCCUAUUACUAAUUACCGACUUGCUAUCAAUAGCCUCCCCUAGCAAUUAAUAAUGCAUGAUAAACAGAAGUAAAAUACAAUUGAUCGUCCUACCCCUAUUCCUAGGCGGUAUUAGCAUAAUCAAGGAAUUCCCCCCAGUUCAUGACAUUACUAUACGUUCCCGUAUCAAUAAAGAC